rnacentral:rRNA from 1 species
GCGCGAAAACUUUACAAUGCGAGCAAUCGUGAUAAGGAAACCCUGAGUGCCUGUAUAUGCAGGCUGUCUGGGUGUCUAAAACACACCUAAAGAAAGGGCCGGGCAAGACCGGUGCCAGCCGCCGCGGUAAUACCGGCGGCUCGAGUGGUGGCCACUUUUAUUGGGCUUAAAGCGUUCGUAGCUGGGUUAUUAAGUCCCUUGGGAAAUCCGACGGCUUAACCGUCGGGCGUCUAAGGGAUACUGGCAAUCUUGGAACCGGGAGAGGUGAGGGGUACUUCGGGGGUAGGAGUGAAAUCCUGUAAUCCUCGAGGGACCACCUGUGGCGAAGGCGCCUCACCAGAACGGCUUCGACAGUGAGGGACGAAAGCUGGGGGAGCAAACCGGAUUAGAUACCCGGGUAGUCCCAGCCGUAAACGAUGUGCGUUAGGUGUAUCGGUGACCACGAGUCACCGAGGUGCCGAAGGGAAACCGUGAAACGUACCGCCUGGGAAGUACGGUCGCAAGGCUGAAACUUAAAGGAAUUGGCGGGGGAGCACCACAACAGGUGGAGCCUGCGGUUUAAUUGGACUCAACGCCGGAAAUCUCACCGGAUAAGACAGCUGAAUGAUUGUCGGGCUGAAGACUCUACAUGACUAGCU